rnacentral:rRNA from 1 species
UACGUAGGGACCGAGCGUUGUCCGGAAUCAUUGGGCGUAAAGAGCGUGUAGGCGGCUAUUUAAGUCCUGCGUGAAAUCCUGCGGCUCAACCGCAGACGGUCGUGGGAAACUGGAUGGCUAGAGUGCGGGAGAGGAGAGUGGAAUUCCCGGUGUAGCGGUGAAAUGCGCAGAUAUCAGGAAGAACACCCGUGGCGAAGGCGGCUCUCUGGGACGGUACUGACGCUGAGACGCGAAAGCGUGGGGAGCGAACAGG